UGGGGAAUAUUGGACAAUGGGGGCAACCCUGAUCCAGCAAUGCCGCGUGAGUGAUGAAGGCCUUCGGGUUGUAAAGCUCUUUUGCCAGGGACGAUGAUGACGGUACCUGGAGAAUAAGCCCCGGCUAACUUCGUGCCAGCAGCCGCGGUAAUACGGAGGGGGCUAGCGUUGUUCGGAAUUACUGGGCGUAAAGCGCACGUAGGCGGACUGGAAAGUCAGAGGUGAAAUCCCAGGGCUCAACCUUGGAACUGCCUUUGAAACUCCCGGUCUUGAGGUCGAGAGAGGUGAGUGGAAUUCCGAGUGUAGAGGUGAAAUUCGUAGAUAUUCGGAGGAACACCAGUGGCGAAGGCGGCUCACUGGCUCGAUACUGACGCUGAGGUGCGAAAGCGUGGGGAGCAAA
rnacentral:rRNA from 1 species